rnacentral:rRNA from 1 species
GACGAACGCUGGCGGCGUGCUUAACACAUGCAAGUCGAACGAUGAAGCCGGAGCUUGCUCCGGUGGAUUAGUGGCGAACGGGUGAGUAACACGUGAGCAAUCUGCCCUUGACUCUGGGAUAACUGCGGGAAACUGUAGCUAAUACCGGAUACGACACCUUGGGGCAUCCCAGGGCGUGGAAAGAAUUUCGGUCAAGGAUGAGCUCGCGGCCUAUCAGCUAGUCGGUGAGGUAAUGGCUCACCAAGGCGACGACGGGUAGCCGGCCUGAGAGGGUGACCGGCCACACUGGAACUGAGACACGGUCCAGACUCCUACGGGAGGCAGCAGUGGGGAAUAUUGCACAAUGGGCGAAAGCCUGAUGCAGCAACGCCGCGUGAGGGAUGAAGGCCUUCGGGUUGUAAACCUCUUUUAGCAGGGAAGAAGCGAAAGUGACGGUACCUGCAGAAAAAGCACCGGCUAACUACGUGCCAGCAGCCGCCGUAA